rnacentral:rRNA from 1 species
GGCUCAGGAUGAACGCUGGCGGCGUGCUUAACACAUGCAAGUCGAACGAGCUUUAUUACUACGAUCCCUUCGGGUGACGGUUUUAAAGCGAGUGGCGGACGGGUGAGUAACGCGUGGAUAACCUGCCAUAUACUGGGGGAUAACAGCUGGAAACAGCUGCUAAUACCGCAUAAAACUGUAGAGUCGCAUGACUUUAUAGCCAAAGCUCCGGCGGUGUAUGAUGGAUCCGCGUCUGAUUAGGCAGUUGGCGGGGUAACGGCCCACCAAACCGACGAUCAGUAGCCGACCUGAGAGGGUGACCGGCCACAUUGGGACUGAGACACGGCCCAGACUCCUACGGGAGGCAGCAGUGGGGAAUAUUGCACAAUGGAGGAAACUCUGAUGCAGCGACGCCGCGUGAGCGAUGAAGUAUUUCGGUAUGUAAAGCUCUAUCAGCAGGGAAGAUAAUGACGGUACCUGACUAAGAAGCUCCGGCUAAAUACGUG